GAGUCCGCAUUGUAAUUUGCAGAGGAUGCUUUGGGUGCGGCCCCCGUCUAAGUGCCCUGGAACGGGCCGUCAGAGAGGGUGAGAAUCCCGUCUUGGGCGGGGUGUCCGUGCCCGUGUAAAGCUCCUUCGACGAGUCGAGUUGUUUGGGAAUGCAGCUCUAAAUGGGUGGUAAAUUUCAUCUAAAGCUAAAUACUGGCCGGAGACCGAUAGCGCACAAGUAGAGUGAUCGAAAGAUGAAAAGCACUUUGAAAAGAGAGUUAAACAGCACGUGAAAUUGUUGAAAGGGAAGCGCUUGCGACCAGACUCGCCCGCGGGGUUCAGCCGGCAUUCGUGCCGGUGUACUUCCCCGUGGGCGGGCCAGCGUCGGUUUGGGCGGCCGGUCAAAGGCCCCUGGAAUGUAGUGCCCUCCGGGGCACCUUAUAGCCAGGGGUG
rnacentral:rRNA from 1 species